CCUACGGGCGGCAGCAGUAGGGAAUAUUGCUCAAUGGGGGCAACCCUGAAGCAGCAACGCCGCGUGGAGGAUGAAGGUUUUCGGAUUGUAAACUCCUUUUGUUAGAGAAGAUAGUGACGGUAUCUAACGAAUAAGCACCGGCUAACUCCGUGCCAGCAGCCGCGGUAAUACGGAGGGUGCAAGCGUUACUCGGAAUCACUGGGCGUAAAGAGAGCGUAGGCGGGAUAGCAAGUCAGAUGUGAAAUCCUAUGGCUUAACCAUAGAACUGCAUUUGAAACUGUUAUUCUAGAGUAUGGGAGAGGUAGGUGGAAUUCUUGGUGUAGGGGUAAAAUCCGUAGAGAUCAAGAGGAAUACUCAUUGCGAAGGCGACCUGCUAGAACAUAACUGACGCUGAUGCGCGAAAGCGUGGGGAGCAAACAGGAUUAGAUACCCUUGUAGUC
rnacentral:rRNA from 1 species